UACGUAGGGGGCGAGCGUUGUCCGGAUUUAUUGGGCGUAAAGAGCUCGUAGGCGGUUUGGUAAGUCGGGUGUGAAAUCUCCACGCUCAACGUGGAGGGGCCACUCGAUACUGCCAUGACUCGAGUCCGGUAGAGGAGUGUGGAAUUCCCGGUGUAGCGGUGAAAUGCGUAGAUAUCGGGAAGAACACCCGUGGCGAAGGCGGUUCUCUGGGACGGUACUGACGCUGAGACGCGAAAGCGUGGGGAGCAAACAGG
rnacentral:rRNA from 1 species